UGAUAUCAUACGAUAUGCUUGCAAGCGUUUAUCGUCUAUCGCAGUGCUCGUCAAAUUUUGCCUGUGUCUUUCCAUAAAUACCUUUCGCUAAAACUUCGCUGCCUUUUUACUCACAACUUUAGUUUUGUAGUUCUUACAUGGACGUACUAAAUUUAAUACGAAAUCUGCACCUCCACCGACCACCAAAUAUCUGUGGAAAGAUGCUAUUCACAGUCGUUAGUUCAACGAAAAUUGGCACUCACAAAACCAACGUUAAUAGGUUAGUAGUCGUUAGUUUACAUAGCUCCAGGCGACAUUCGCAAUAACGAUAAUUCAUUUUUCAAAUACAUGGGUACAUAUUGUAAAAAUACAAGACUUUUAGUUUUUUGCUGAAAAGAAUUUUAAAUUUUAGGAAUCCGGUAGGCGUAUUAUACACCUUAUGGAGGCGCAGAUUUUCUAUCUUUUCUGUUAUCCGAUUGGUAUUGAAUUUCCGGUUUGCUGUCCUAGUGUGAAUAUCAAAAGCAAGAGUUUACGAAAUAGAGUUAAUCUGAAGGAAUAUUUUACUGGGCUUAUUAAUUUUCUUGGUGAAAGCUUUUAAAAGAUGCGUACCUACGAUCGAUAUAUCCAUAUACAGAAAACAAUAUAUUUGUUUCCAAAUUGUUGAUGCUAAUGUCUUCUUUAUUUCAAAUAUUAACAUACUGGAUGAAAAUUAGGCAUAUUUCCAAUAGAAAAAAUGAGAUCUAUGAAGAAUAUUGCAGAGCUCUACGAUUUACCAACUGGGAUUACUAAGUGCUUAAAAUAAAAACCAGUGCAGCUACAUAAAAUACGACCUAAAUGAGUUGUGGAAAAAUAUUUCGCAAACAACAGUUGGAAUAAAGUCCUAAUGCAAACUUAUUUCGGGGUUGAGAGUCAUCGUGGGCAAUACUUACAUAGUACAUA